rnacentral:rRNA from 1 species
CCCACGGGUGGCAGCAGUGGGGAAUAUUGGACAAUGGGCGAAAGCCUGAUCCAGCCAUGCCGCGUGUGUGAAGAAGGCCUUCGGGUUGUAAAGCACUUUCAGUGGGGAAGAAAGCCUUGGGGCUAAUACCCUCGAGGAAGGACAUCACCCACAGAAGAAGCACCGGCUAACUCCGUGCCAGCAGCCGCGGUAAUACGGAGGGUGCGAGCGUUAAUCGGAAUUACUGGGCGUAAAGCGCGCGUAGGCGGUCUGAUAAGCCGGUUGUGAAAGCCCCGGGCUCAACCUGGGAACGGCAUCCGGAACUGUCAGGCUAGAGUGCAGGAGAGGAAGGUAGAAUUCCCGGUGUAGCGGUGAAAUGCGUAGAGAUCGGGAGGAAUACCAGUGGCGAAGGCGGCCUUCUGGACUGACACUGACGCUGAGGUGCGAAAGCGUGGGUAGCAAACAGGAUUAGAUACCCCGGUAGUC